UUCCGGUUGAUCCUGCCAGACCUGACUGCUAUCGGAUUGAUACUAAGCCAUGUGAGUCAUUGUAGCAAUACAAGGCAGACGGCUCAGUAACACGUAGCCAACCUACCCUAUGGACGGGGAUAACCUCGGGAAACUGAGGAUAAACCCCGAUAGAUCAUUAUACCUGGAACGGUUUAUGGUCCAAAUGAUUCGUCGCCGUAGGAUGGGACUGCGGCCUAUCAGCUUGUUGGUGAGGUAAUGGCCCACCAAGGCUAUUACAGGUACGGGCUCUGAGAGGAGAAGCCCGGAGAUGGGUACUGAGACACGGACCCAGGCCCUAUGGGGCGCAGCAGGCGAGAAAACUUUGCAAUGUGCGCAAGCACGACAAGGUUAAUCCGAGUGUUUCCUGCUAAAGGAAUCUUUUGCUAGUCCUAAAAACACUAGCGAAUAAGGGGUGGGCAAGUUCUGGUGUCAGCCGCCGCGGUAAAACCAGCACCUCAAGUGGUCAGGAGGAUUAUUGGGCCUAAAGCAUCCGUAGCCUGCUCUGUAAGUUUCCGGUUAAAUCCAUUAGCUUAACUGAUGGGCCGCCGGAAAAACUGCAAAGCUAGGGAGUGGGAGAGGUAGACGGUACUCGGUAGGAAGGGGUAAAAUCCUUUGAUCUAUUGAUGACCACCUGUGGCGAAGGCGGUCUACCAGAACACGUUCGACGGUGAGGGAUGAAAGCUGGGGGAGCAAACCGGAUUAGAUACCCGGGUAGUCCCAGCUGUAAACGAUGCAGACUCGGUGAUGCCCUGGCUUGUGGCCAGUGCAGUGCCGCAGGGAAGCCGUUAAGUUUGCCGCCUGGGAAGUACGUACGCAAGUAUGAAACUUAAAGGAAUUGGCGGGGGAGCACCACAAGGGGUGAAGCCCGCGGUUCAAUUGGAUUCAACGCCGGAAAU
rnacentral:rRNA from 1 species